UUAUGCAGUCUGUUAGGGACUCUUAGAAUUUCGACAGCAACCGGCAACGCUGGCGCAGGGACGUGCCAGCGAGGCGCAACUGAACAUGGAUGUGAAUUUGCGCCGGUUGCCGCAAAAUAUAGAUUGUAUAUCGAAAUUCUUAGAGUCCCUUGCAGACAUAAUGU
rfam:Roseburia sp. CAG:45 genomic scaffold, scf36